CUUCUCCAAUUGCUUAAUGAUUUGCAUGAUCAUCCACUUAACAAAAAUGAAAUACUUGAUAUCUUCUAUAAUGGACUAACCAAUGCUUCUAGGGAUUUCCUAGAUAGUUGUGUUGGUUGUGUUUUCAGGGAACGAUGUAUUGCGCAAGCUAAAGAAUUAUUGGAUAACAUAUUGAAAAAUUAUGAUGAUUGGACUCCUCCUGAACCACCUACUAAACCCACUCCGAAGAAGAGGGGUAUUUUAUAUCUCAGUCCUAAAGAUAUGCAAGAGGCAAAGAAAUCUAUGAAGGAAAAAGGUAUUAAAGCCGAAGAUGUCAAAAAUUUACCUCCUAUUGAAGAAAUACAUGGGCUU
rnacentral:rRNA from 1 species